GAUGAAGAACGUAGUGAAAUGCGAUAAGUAGUGUGAAUUGCAGAAUUCAGUGAAUCAUCGAAUCUUUGAACGCACAUUGCGCCUCCUGGUAUUCCGGGAGGCAUGCCUGUUCGAGCGUCAUCAAAAACCUCAGUCUCUGAUUUAUCAUUGAUUGGUCUUGCAUCGGAUGCCUUUGGCGUCCCCUGCGAAAUCCAAUGGCGAAGAGCCACGCAGCCAAAGCGUAGUAUAAUAACCUCGUAAUGGAUGUGUGUGCGCUUCUGCCGUAACCCCCCCAAUUCUUAGUUUUUGACCUCGGAUCAGGUAGGGAUACCCGCUGAACUUAAGCAUAUCAAUAAGCGGAGGA
rnacentral:misc_RNA from 1 species